UCGUAAUUCCGGGGAAAUAAUUAAGGCUUCAGGAAGUUUUUUUAAACGAGGGGGGCGGUCAAACUUUAUUUUGUAUUGCACACGGAUCAAGUUCUUCUCAAGUUCUCAAGGACAGUUAUGAGCUUAUUUUCAUGAUGCAAACAUGGACAAUAUUUUCAAUAAUUCAGGUAAGGAUAGUUUUAUUUCGUUUGGGUAAUACACAUGAAGGCAUUUAUAUUUAGAACACUAUGUCAUGAUUGAAUUUAGAUUCAG
rnacentral:lncRNA from 1 species